ensembl:miRNA
UCUAAGCGGGUGCAGAGCUUAGCUGAUUGGUGAACAUGCACGCUUUGUUUUUUGUUCACAGUGGCUAAGUUCUUCACCUGAAAAGAAA